AGAUAACAGGUGGCUAGCAGAAGCAAAGCUCUUUGAGCAGAAAUGGAUAAAUAAAAGGGUCUUUUGAAUGGCAAGUUUCAGUUUGUUCUCUCC